GCAAACUUGGUCAUUUAGAGGAAGUAAAAGUCGUAACAAGGUCCCCGUAGGUGAACCUUCGGGGGGAUCAUUACCGAGCGUCGCGGGCCUCUUCGGACCGCGUCCUCCCCACCCCUUGCUCGAAACCCCAACCUUGCUUCGGCCGCUCCGGCGGCCGGAAUUUUCAACCCUGGAAACGGUGUAUCCGAGCGGCGAGAGCUGAACUCAGUACAACCUGCAACGAUGGAUCUCUUGGUUCCGGCAUCGAUGAAGAACGCAGC
rnacentral:misc_RNA from 1 species